rnacentral:lncRNA from 1 species
ACUGGCGCUAGGAUUCAAGUCGGCUUAAGGCCGCCAGAACCCGUAGCAAGCCUGCUAUACUCUCUGUGUACCUGUAAAUCUCAUACAUGAUCAUACAUUUUCUGUGAAAAUAAAAACUCUUUUCUGAACCAAGGCUUAACCUGUGCAUGCACUAUCUCUGUACUCUGUACUCUGUACUCUGUACCCCUUGGGUAACUCAUACCUGUUAAGCCUGGUUUUUCACAUACUCUAUAAAACAUCUACAUAUACAGAUCAUGUACACAACAACAGAUUUACAACACAAACUACUAAGUCAAGCACAUUUGUAACUGAAAACACAACUAAUACAUCUCUUUAAUAUUACAUGUCCACUCUAGGCUAUUACACAUUUCUUUUCUCUUUCUGCACUUUGCUGAACCUCUCCUGUACACUGUACACUGAACCUGCAAAACUGGGGUUACGGGAGUGGGAUGAGCUCUAUAGCCCAGUGAGUAGAACAGUAAAACAUCUCAGUAAAAUAUGAUCUCAUGGAAUGCACCAUAUCACAGACAAUCCACAUCAAGAGUAAACCUGUCACCACAUAGUCCCA